GAUGAACGCUGGCGGCGUGCUUAACACAUGCAAGUCGAACGAAGCUGCUUAAAGGAGUCUUCGGAUGGAUUUAGGGUAGACUUUAGUGGCGGACGGGUGAGUAGCGCGUGGAUAACCUGCCUUAUACAGGGGGAUAACGGAGAGAAAUUUCCGCUAACACCGCAUAAGACCACAGCACCCGCAUGUGCAGGGGUAAAAUAUUUAUAGGUAUAAGAUGGAUCCGCGUCCGAUUAGCUAGUUGGUGAGGUAAAGGCCCACCAAGGCGACGAUCGGUAGCCGGCCUGAGAGGGUGAACGGCCACAUUGGGACUGAGACACGGCCCAAACUCCUACGGGAGGCAGCAGUGGGGAAUAUUGGACAAUGGGGGAAACCCUGAUCCAGCGACGGCCGCGUGAGUGAAGAAGUAUUUCGGUAUGUAAAGCUCUAUCAGCAGGGAAGAAAAUGACGGUACCUGACUAAGAAGCCCCGCCUAACUACGUGCCAGCAGCGGGGUAAUACGUAGGGGGCAAGCGUUAUCCGGAUUUACUGGGUGUAAAGGGAGCGCAGACGCAAUGCAAGUCUGAAGUGAAAGGCGUGGGCUCAACCCAUGAACUGCUUUGGAAACUGUAUAGCUUGAGUGUCGGAGGGGUAAGCGGAAUUCCUAGUGUAGCGGUGAAAUGCGUAGAUAUUAGGAGGAACACCGGAGCGAAGCCGGCUUACUGGACGACAACUGACGUUGAGGCUCGAGGCGUGGGGAGCAACAGGAUAGGAUACCUGGUAGUCAAGGGCGAUUCCACAGUGAUAUCAAGCUUAUCGAUACCGUCGACCUCGAGGGGGGGCCGUACCCAGCUUUGUCCCUUUAGUGAGGAUAAAUAGCGCGCUGGCGUAUCAUGGUCAAGCCUUUUCCGGUAAUUUUACUCGCACAAGUCGCAGAGAACAGUAUUCUUUUUUCUGAUCUGUGUUAUUAUAGAUUUCUUUAC
rnacentral:rRNA from 1 species